rnacentral:rRNA from 1 species
AUGUGGGAGGAAUGCUUGCCUCAUAUUGAAUUUGCUUAUAAUCGUUCAUUGCAUUCUACUACUAAGAUGUGCCCUUUUGAAGUUGUGUAUGGUUUCCUACCUCGUGCACCUAUUGAUUUGUUGCCUCUUCCAUCUUCGGAGAAGGUUAAUUUUGAUGCUAAACAACGUGCUGAAUUGAUUUUAAAAAUGCAUGAUUUAACUAAGGAAACCAUUGAGCGCAUGAAUGCUAAAUAUAAACUUGCUGGAGAUAAGGGUAGAAAACAUGUUGUGUUUGCACCUGGAGAUCUUGUUUGGUUACAUUUGCGUAAGGAUAGAUUUCCUGAUUUGCGCAAAUCAAAGUUAAUGCCACGUGCUGAUGGUCCCUUUAAGGUGUUAGAGAAAAUAAAUGAUAAUGCAUAUAAACUUGAGCUGCCUGCAGAUUUUGGGGUUAGUCCCACUUUUAACAUUGCAGAUUUGAAGCCUUAUUUGGGUGAGGAAGAUGAACUUCCGUCGAGGACGACUUCAUUUCAAGAAGGGGAGGAUGAUGAGGACAUCAAUACAAUUGUUACACCCACAGCCCCUGCUGCUAUACAUACUGGACCAAUUACUAGAGCUCGUGCACGCCAACUAAAUUACCAGGAAACAGACCCUCGUGGUCAGGUUGAUCGGGCUCCGGCGUGGUCAAUAACCUCUCGGAGUUGGUUUAGCGAUUGCUAA